rnacentral:rRNA from 1 species
AGUGAACGCUGGCGGUAGGCCUAACACAUGCAAGUCGAACGGCAGCACAGUAAGAGUUUGCUCUUACGGGUGGCGAGUGGCGGACGGGUGAGGAAUGUAUCCGACCCUACUUUUUCGUGGGGGAUAACGUAGGGGAAGUUAAGCUAAUACCGCAUACGACCUACCGGUGUAAGCAGGGGAUCUUCGGACCUUGUGCGGUUGGAUGAGCCGCUGUCGGAUUUGCUAGUUGGGGGGGUAAAGGCCCAGCCAGGCGACGAUCCGUGGCCGGUCUGAGAGAAUGGUCGGCCACACUGGAGCUGAGACACGGUCCAUGGUCCUACGGGAGGCAGCAGUGGGGAAUGUUGGACAAUGGGCGCGAGCCUUACCCAGCCAUACCGCGUCUGUGGAAGAGGCCUCCCGUUUGUAAAGCCCUUUUGUUGGGAAAGAAAAGCAGCAGGUUAAUACCCCGCUGUUCUGACGGUACCCAAUGAAUAAGCACCGGCUAACUUCGUG